UAUACAGUCAUACUCAAUAUCAGAGACUAGCAACACCACACAGGUAACAACAUCUCCAAGAGAUGCAUGUAGUCCAACUUUUCUGUCUCCCCCUCUCUCCUCUCCCUCCCCCUAUCCUCUAAGAGAACCUUACUACACUCACUUCAGAUACCCACCGGAAGACUUUAUCUCGCCAGUACCACCAAACUAUGCAGCGUCUCCUACUCUACACAUGGGGACAGGGAGAGAGGGAGGGUACAUGUAUGAUGCAGUACCACCCACGCUAAUUAAAAUGGAUGGACCUCACAACAUCCAACAACCCCAUCCUCCAAGUUUAAAGUUAGAACAAGGAGACUGCACUUGUGGUACUAAUUAUCCAGUGAUGGCUCCCUUUUCUCCUAACUCUCCUCUAUCAGCAGUCAGUAUAUAAUGGAGACACUAUGGAUGUACUUGAUCCUCAGGAGAUGAACCUCUGCUCUGCUGUGUGGGCGGUGUAUACUUAUGUGUUAGCUGAUCUUGAUGAUGUACUGCCAAGAGGAUAAUGUGAUUAAUAGUAACACUUAUAGUCUUAGUUCCCUCAUGUACGUGUACAUGCUUCUAUUAAUGCUAUUGAAUUUAACAUUGUUUAUUUUUGUACUGUUAGUAUUAGCAAGAGUUCACCGUACGUCAAGUCUUCAAAAGUUAACUAUUGGAAGUUA